rnacentral:lncRNA from 1 species
GUGACGAUGAGCCUUUCUUCAUAUGUUUGUUGGCCUCAUGUAUGUCUUCUUUUGUAAAGUGUCUGUUCAUAUCCUUUGCCCAUUUUUGAAUGGGCUUGUUUGUUUUUUUCUUGUAAAUCCGUUUUAGUUCUUUGUAAAUUCUGGAUAUCAGCCCUUUGUCAGAUGGGUAAACUGCAAAAAAAUUUUUCUCAUUUUGUUGGUUGCCAAUUCACUCUAGUGACUGUUUCUUUUGCUGUGCAGAAGCUGUGGAGUUUGAUUAGGUCCCAUUUGUCUAUUUUGGCUUUUGUUGCCAAUGCUUUUGGUGUUUUGGUCAUGAAGGAGGACUAAUAUUUUCUUUCUGUUGGCUCAAGCAGAAAUCCAACACAGAGUUUGAUUCUACCGUGUCUGAUUGAUAACUGUUAGAGCAACUAGCCACGUCUUCUGUGAUUAAGUAACCACUGGAGAGGAUGGGGCAAAGAAACCACACAGGAAGGGGCCAAAUCACAUUUUUUAAAAUUACCAGAUCAUUUCAGAAUAAGUUGAUGCUUAACACAAUGCAAUCUGACAUUUCACAUAGCGUGUAGUGUACAUUGCUAUGUCUGUAGCCAUAGAAUUACGUUUUGUGUAUGAUUGCUCACAUAAUAUAUUACAAAUUAAAGAAAUAUAAUUAAAGUCUAUCUUUUGAGUUUUUUGGAGAAAAAUGAUAUUUGACACAGGUUCAUAAAAACUAAAUACAAGAUUAGAGUAUGUGUAGUUGUUUUGGGCAUCUGAUGCCCACCACCUGCCCAUUUCAUAGUGAUAUAACUAUAUUCUGCAUAAUAAAUGAUCAGUUCAGAAGUUUUGAAGACUAGGAGAAUGAUUACCCAAGAUAUUUUAAAAGGCGGCAUCAGAAAUAACAAACAAGUAAUUAUGAAAAGAAAAGAAAGAAAGAAGGAGCGGCGGGGAGGAGAGAGAGAGAGAGAGGAAGGGAGGGAGGGAGGGAAGGAAGGAAGGAAGGAAGGAAGGAAGGAAGGAAGGAAGGAAGGAAGGAAGGAAGGAAGGAAGGAAGGAAGGAAGGGAAGGAAGGAAGGAAGAAAAGUGGUCUGAUUUUUGCAAAGCAUGAAAGCAUUCACCCAAAUUUGCAAAGCUAGGGUCUAAUAAACCUGCCAGUGACUUUGUGGACAAUUUAUGAGCUUUUUACAAAGAUAGAUAGAAUUAAAUGAGAUAAUGUUUGUAGAGGAUUGCACAUAGAGUCUGGCACACAAGGUAACCCUAAAUUUAAAAAAAGCAAUUAUAGGCUGGGCACAGUGGCUCAUGCCUGUAAUCCCAGCAUUUUGGGAGGCAGAGGUGGGCAGAUCACGAGGUCAAGAGGUUAAGACCAACCUGGCCAACAUGGUGAAACCCCAUCUCUACUAAAAUUACAAAAAUUAGCUGAGCAUAAUGGCGCAUGCCUGUAGUCCCAGCUACUCAGGAGGCUGAGGCAGGAGAAUCGCUUAAACCCGGGAGGUGGAGGAAGCAGUGAGCUGAGAUCAUGCCACUGCACUCCAGCCUGGUGACAGAGUGAGACUCCAUCUAAAAAAAAAAGAACAAUUACAAGGCUGAUAAUACUGCUUGGUAUAACAAGCCUCCAGAUUUUAUUGAAAUCAAAGAGUGGGAGAAGUGGAAGAUCAUGUUAACCAUUGCUCAUAUAGCUGUUCUGCAGUGCUCUGGAACUUCUUGGAUCCCUGUGAAAACAUCUCCCUUUGUUGUUAUAGUCAGAUUUACUCUGGAGAAACAUUCUACAGCAUUUCUCAAACUGCAUUGGC